UACGGAGGGUGCAAGCGUUAUCCGGAUUCACUGGGUUUAAAGGGUGCGUAGGUGGGUUUGUAAGUCAGUGGUGAAAUCUCUAAGCUUAACUUGGAAACUGCCAUUGAUACUAUAGAUCUUGAAUAUCCUGGAGGUGAACGGAAUAUGUCAUGUAGCGGUGAAAAUGCUUAGAUAUGACAUAGAACACCAAUUGCGAAGGCAGUUCACUACGGGAUUAUUGACACUGAGGCACGAAAGCGUGGGGAUCAAACAGG
rnacentral:rRNA from 1 species